ACCGGCGGCUCGAGUGGUGGCCACUAUUACUGGGCUUAAAGCGUUCGUAGCUGGCUUGUUAAGUCUCUGGGGAAAUCUUCCGGCUCAACCGGAAGGCGUCUCAGGGAUACUGGCAGGCUAGGGACCGGAAGAGGUGAGAGGUACUCCAGGGGUAGGAGUGAAAUCGGGUGACCCUUGGGGGGCCACAUGUGGCGAAGGCGUCUCACCAGGACGGCUCCGACAGUGAGGACCGAAAUUUGGGGGAGCAAACCG
rnacentral:rRNA from 1 species